AUCGUUUUUAACCGUUUUGACCUUGAAGGGUGUGACCUAGGUCCAUUUUUGAACUCAUCCUGUCCCUUGACGUUAAGAGUUCAGAGUCAAAAUAUCAAGUCUUUAUGUCUCGAAAAGUUAUCGGAGGGACACGCGAGGCUGAUGUACAAGUGGUAGCGGUUCUUCUCCGGGGGAAAUUCUGCAUCUCCCUUCUUUACAAAGUUGCGAAAUUGUGAAUCCUUCAAGAUAACCUCGCCCUUCUUGGUCACGUCAUCGGCACCUCCCAUUGUCCUGGGGUUGAUAAAUAGU